AAACUCAUUACUAGAUGUCGCUAGUGUCGCCCUUGUUAUUGUUACAUUGUUACAUCGUGAAAAGAGGCAAAAUGGGCGAAACAAUUGGUUGCUUAUUUAUACUUAUAUUCCUGUGAUUUCACAUACCAAAUUGAACUUCGUGACUUAUAUGCAUACUGUCAGUCAUUCCAACAGGUUGACUUAUCGCCCAGUCAAUUUCCAUCCAUUAGAUCCUCAUGCUGUCUAAAGCCUAAAACUCAUGUUUGAAGCACACAUAUAGUGGAAUACCAAUGUGCCGAGAUAAGGAUCUUUUCUGAAUCUCGCAAUUUUGGUGGCAUACCCUGCUACAGCAUGUUUGUUAUUAUGACU